GACAGAGGGGGCAAGCGUUGCUCGGAAUCACUGGGCGUAAAGGGCGCGUAGGCGGGAUGACAAGUCGGUCGUGAAAUCCCUGGGCUCAACUCAGGGGGGUCGGCCGAUACUGCCAUUCUUGAGGGAUGCAGAGGAGACUGGAAUUCCCGGUGUAGCGGUGAAAUGUGUAGAGAUCGGGAGGAACACCGGUGGCGAAGGCGGGUCUCUGGGCAUUCCCUGACGCUGAGGCGCGAAAGCGUGGGGAGCGAACAGG
rnacentral:rRNA from 1 species